CCUACGGGGGGCAGCAGUGGGGAAUAUUGGACAAUGGGGGCAACCCUGAUCCAGCCAUGCCGCGUGUGUGAAGAAGGCCCUCGGGUUGUAAAGCACUUUCAGUGAGGAAGAACGCCUGGUGGUUAAUACCCAUCAGGAAAGACAUCACUCACAGAAGAAGCACCGGCUAACUCCGUGCCAGCAGCCGCGGUAAUACGGAGGGUGCGAGCGUUAAUCGGAAUUACUGGGCGUAAAGCGCGCGUAGGUGGCUUGAUAAGCCGGUUGUGAAAGCCCCGGGCUCAACCUGGGAACGGCAUCCGGAACUGUCAAGCUAGAGUGCAGGAGAGGAAGGUAGAAUUCCCGGUGUAGCGGUGAAAUGCGUAGAGAUCGGGAGGAAUACCAGUGGCGAAGGCGGCCUUCCGGACUGACACUGACACUGAGGUGCGAAAGCGUGGGUAGCAAACAGGAUUAGAUACCCCUGUAGUC
rnacentral:rRNA from 1 species